CGUAGGCGGUUUGUCGCGUCGUUCGUGAAAACUUGGGGCUUAACUUCAAGCGUGCGGGCGAUACGGGCAGACUUGAGUACUACAGGGGAGACUGGAAUUCCUGGUGUAUCGGUGAAAUGCGCACAUAUCAUCGAGGAACACCGGCUGGCGAAGGCGGGUCUCUGGGUAGUAACUGACGCUGAGGAGCGAAAGCGUUGGGUAGCGAACACGAUUAGAUACCCUGGUAGUCCACGCCGUAACGGGUGGGUACUAGGUGUGGGUUCCUUUUUCACGGGAUCCCGUGCCGUAGCUAACGCAAUAAGUACCCCGCCUGGGGAGUACGGCCGCAAGGCUAAAACUCAAAGGAAUUGACGGGGGCCCGCACAAGCGGCGGAGCAUGUGGAUUAAUUCGAUGCAACGCGAAGAACCUUACCUGGGUUUGACAUACAUCAGAAAGCCAUAGAGAUAUGGCCCCCCUUGUGGUUGGUGUACAGGUGGUGCAUGGCUGUCGUCAGUUCGUGUCGUGAGAUGUUGGGUUAAGUCCCGCAACGAGCGCAACCCUUGUCCUGUGUUGCCAGCACGUAGUGGUGGGGACUCGCAGGAGACUGCCGGGGUCAACUCGGAGGAAGGUGGGGAUGACGUCAAGUCAUCAUGCCCCUUAUGUCCAGGGCUUCACACAUGCUACAAUGGCCGGUACAGAGGGCUGCGAUACCGUGAGGUGGAGCGAAUCCCUUAAAGCCGGUCUCAGUUCGGAUCGGGGUCUGCAACUCGACCCCGUGAAGUCGGAGUCGCUAGUAAUCGCAGAUCAGCAACGCUGCGG
rnacentral:rRNA from 1 species